rnacentral:rRNA from 1 species
AUGAGAGGCGCCACCUCUGCCUCCACCCCCCCACUGGGCAAGGAGCUCGAGGCAGGCGGUCUGGGAAGGCCAGAGGAACCAGGAGCUCAUCCCUCCUCCCAUGGCUGCCUCGUGGAUCUGGAGGUGCCUGUUGCAGGCGGCGCGAGCGAUGCAAGCCGGCGGCGAACUAGGUCCAUGGACAUUGUCAUAAUGGUCACCUUAUCGCAGUGUAUUAUUUUUGGAUCUCAUAUUCCUCAAGGCGCUCCAUCCUCUGAUUCAAUGUCUGACGAUCUAAGAAAUAAGAGGAGGAAUAAUCUAGCAGAAGAAUUUGGUGAAGAAGAACAAGAAAAGAAUACCUUUAUCCUGAUAGGCAUGGAAACACCGGUUCGCAUUGAGUGCAUCAUCGCUAAUCAGCUACUAUUAGAGAGCAAGGGACAUAUAAGAAAUCUCCAGGUAGCUUCACUUAGAUGCAUCAUCUUCUGCUAG